AAAUUGAAGAGUUUGAUCAUGGCUCAGAUUGAACGCUGGCGGCAGGCCUAACACAUGCAAGUCGAACGGUAACAGAAAGCAGCUUGCUGCUUUGCUGACGAGUGGCGGACGGGUGAGUAAUGUCUGGGAAACUGCCCGAUGGAGGGGGAUAACUACUGGAAACGGUAGCUAAUACCGCAUAACGUCGCAAGACCAAAGAG
rnacentral:rRNA from 1 species